AACGAACGCUGGCGGCAGGCUUAACACAUGCAAGUCGAGCGCCCCGCAAGGGGAGCGGCAGACGGGUGAGUAACGCGUGGGAAUCUACCCAUCUCUACGGAAUAACGCAUGGAAACGUGUGCUAAUACCGUAUACGUCCUUCGGGAGAAAGAUUUAUCGGAGAUGGAUGAGCCCGCGUUGGAUUAGCUAGUUGGUGGGGUAAAGGCCUACCUAGGCGACGAUCCAUAGCUGGUCUGAGAGGAUGAUCAGCCACACUGGGACUGAGACACGGCCCAGACUCCUACGGGAGGCAGCAGUGGGGAAUAUUGGACAAUGGGCGCAAGCCUGAUCCAGCCAUGCCGCGUGAGUGAUGAAGGCCCUAGGGUUGUAAAGCUCUUUCACCGGUGAAGAUAAUGACGGUAACCGGAGUAGAAGCCCCGGCUAACUUCGUGCCAGCCGCCGCCGUAAUAC
rnacentral:rRNA from 1 species